rnacentral:rRNA from 1 species
UACGUAGGGGGCAAGCGUUGUCCGGAUUUAUUGGGCGUAAAGAGCGUGUAGGCGGCCUGAAAGGUCAGCUGUGAAAACUCGAGGCUCAACCUCGAGACGUCGGUUGAAACCAUCUGGCUAGAGUCCGGAAGAGGAGAGUGGAAUUCCCGGUGUAGCGGUGAAAUGCGCAGAUAUCGGGAAGAACACCCGUGGCGAAGGCGGCUCUCUGGGACGGUACUGACGCUGAGACGCGAAAGCGUGGGGAGCGAACAGA